GAGGAUGGAAAAAAUUACAAUCGAAUCACCGGGCAUCUACAACAAUGGGCGCGGCGCCCGUUCCACCGCGCCAGCGAGAGGAGGAGAGGCCGCCGAUGAGGUCCGCGAGGUCGCCGGCGAGUGUGGCGGCGGACUUCGCCAUGGGCGGCGCGGCCGCCGUGGUGGCCAAGACGGGGGCCGCGCCGGUGGAGCGUGUCAAGCUGCUGCUGCAGAACCAGGGCGAGAUGCUGCGGCGGGGCACCCUGACGCGGCCCUACAAGGGCAUCGCCGACGCCUUCGCCCGCGUCCUCCGCGAGGAGGGCGCCGCCGCGCUCUGGCGCGGCAACCAGGCCAACGUCAUCCGCUACUUCCCCACCCAGGCUUUUAACUUUGCAUUCAGGGGCUACUUUAAAAGCUUCUUUGGCUGCGACAGGGAGAAAGACGGAAAAUGGAAGUGGUUGGCUGGAAAUGUAGCCUCUGGCAGUGCUGCUGGAGCUACAACGUCAUUACUACUAUACCAUCUAGAUUAUGCACGAACAAGGCUAGCUACUGAUGCAAUUGAAUCCCGAGGAAACAAACGCCAGUUCAGGGGACUGCUGGAUGUGUACAAGAGGACACUUACAACUGAUGGCGUAUCUGGACUAUAUCGAGGUUUCAGUGUGUCUAUUGUUGGCAUCACCCUGUACCGGGGUCUACAUUUUGGCAUCUAUGACACCAUGAAACCUCUUGUUCUAGUGGGACCAUUGGAGGGGAAUUUCUUUGCCAGCUUUGCCUUGGGCUGGGCAGUAACAACUUUCUCGGGGGCCUGUUCCUAUCCAUUUGACACAGUCCGUCGUAGAAUGAUGUUAACUUCAGGACAACCAUUCAAAUACAGGAAUGGCUUCCAUGCAGUAAAGCAGAUCGUUUUAACUGAAGGGUUCUUCACAUUAUUCAGAGGAGUUGGAGCAAAUAUUCUGUCAGGAAUGGCAGGAGCUGGAGUUCUUUCUGGGUAUGACCAGCUCCAAAAGUUCGCAAGCCAACAUGGUCAGAUUUUGAGCGCAAGAUGGGGGCAUUGAAAUGAUGUGUGUAUGGAUAUGAGUAUAUUCAAGUCCAUGGUCGAAGGUUCGAUCAUUCAAAUGGGAUGCGCAACCAAGAUGAAAGAACUUCACAAAACUUAGACAGCAAAGUGAAUCUCCUUGCUGCUCCAACACGAUUGGCUGUAGAUUGGGUUAUCUAUAUCUGUACAAUUGGCUGUAUGCUGUAGCCAUUGAUGAAAUGAUAUCUUGGUAAUCUUGCAAGCUCCAAAAUGGUUUAGUCUAAAAAACCAGUCAACCCUAGCAAAACCAGUUUGUACAGAUAGAAACAACAGUAGGAUGGCCCUAUUACAUUGUAUUAUGGUUAUUUGUACAAUGGCCAUUAUCUGACUGAACAGUAUUAGGUGGUUUUCCAGGAAUGCUGGUUAUCACCCUGAUUCUCUUGGUUUCAUGAUUCUUUCAUCUCCUUUGUAAAGCUUGCAAUCAGCGGCCUCCAAAAAAACUGAUGUGGUAAUUCAAUAAAGAGUAUGACUUCUCCUUGUCUUAUCAACGUACAGUUCUUUUUGGAGUACUGGCUGCUGACGACCUUGGGAAACUAGUAUCUGUAAGGGUAUAAAAAUGCUAUUUCAAUUCAUAUUUGUUGGUUUCAAUGCCUACUGCCUAGUGAGUUCUGUUCCUUGACGAUUUAGUCGGUGAACAACUGGGCACAAUAAGUAAAUGGUUGCUCAGAUUAGGCAGAUGAAUUUGGCUUAGUAAUAUGUUAGCUCCUUUAAUUUGUAAAUGCAAACAGAAUUAUUUGAAUUAUUCUGUCGAUCUUCUCAAAUGGGAAGAAUAGUCGUUACCUUA